UUACAGGUCAUUCACAAGUGGCUCCAGUCUGGUUUGGGGGUCUACCCUUGCUCAUCCUGUCCUGCCACCCAAGUAAAAAGAGAAAUAACUACAGGCCUCUGUAACUGCUGUUUCCAGGUCAUUGUCACAAGUCACAAGUGGCUCCAGUCUGGUUUGGGGGUCUACCCUAGCUCAUCCUGUCCUGCCACCCACACAAAAAGAGAAAUAACUACAGGCCUCUGCAACUGCUGUCUCUAGGUAAGG